rnacentral:lncRNA from 1 species
CCCUUGUAUGUCCUGAUAGCCUAUGUGAGUCCAGGUGUGCCUGCUACGGCUCUACGCCCCUGGCACUAUGACAGAUUAUGGAAGUCCGGGUGUGCCUGCUACGGCUCUACGCCCCCGGCAUGUAUAAGUAAGAAAGAUAGGGGCUAAAUGGUGACAAGUUCAUCCUUGUUGUGAAAUGUUUGUGUUAUGGCGCAUACAUGAAAGCAUGA